rnacentral:rRNA from 1 species
UACAGAGGUCCCGAGCGUUGUUCGGAUUCAUUGGGCGUAAAGGGUGCGUAGGCGGUCUUCUAAGUUUGAUGUGAAAUCCCGGGGCUUAACCCUGGAAUUGCAUUGAAUACUGGAGGACUUGAGUCCCGGAGAGGAAACUGGAAUUUACGGUGUAGCAGUGAAAUGCGUAGAGAUCGUAAGGAAGACCAGUGGCGAAGGCGAGUUUCUGGACGGGUACUGACGCUGAGGCGCGAAGGCCAGGGGAGCAAACGGG